rnacentral:SRP_RNA from 1 species
AGCCGGGUCCUGUGCAAGGCGGUCCCGUAAACCCCGUCAGGUCCGGAAGGAAGCAGCGGUAGCGGUUGUUACCCCUGUGCCACAGGGAAGCCUGGCUGUC